UGAUCAAAACUAUGCAACAGGGUUUGGACGUUGCUGUUCCAAUAGCCUCGUGUAUUCUGCACUACUGAAAACUCAGGAUAAACUAGAAAGCGAGUCAACGCUAUACAUUUGGAAUGAGCUGAAAGGCUGAGGUGGCGUUGCAGUUUCAUCUACAGUUGCAGUCCUAUCAGCUGGAAGGACAGUAGCAGUACAUGUCAGGCUGAAGGCCACUCAUUUAAAAAAAUAAAAAUCCCCUCAAUUUAUUAUGUUCUCGACAACCAGCUACAACGUUUGCUUAACAUGGAAAGCGUAUGGUUUGGGGCUGAUUUUUAUCUGUAGCCAUUAUCGAUUUUUAGAAGCACAACAACCAAGCUGCCUUGUGCAAACUGCUUGAGCGAUAGCACCUCGAAAUACCAACUUCCAGGAAAGGAAGAGACCUUAUGGUAGAUAGGUCUUCAGCUCCUACAAAUAUGGAUUUGAAUUCUGACUGCUCCAUGAGGUAAGAACUAAGUAAUACAAACAGAGGCUGGCUGUCUUAGGGGCAUUUCUUUUCUUCCUCUUUCCGUGCCCCCAUAUACAUACAUGUUUCAGAAAUUAAUCCCACACCCAAAGCCUGGAUCUUAGCACCCCCAAACUGUGAGGCGUUUGAGACCCAAGAUCUGAAUUUUGUAGCUUAGACUCAUUUUGGUCCUUUGCUUUUCCUUUGGAUCACGUGAAAGCCAUUCCACCGAAACCACACGCAGAGUUACAUCGGUUAAAUCCUUGCACGUUCUUUUGCAGCAUGGGUGAAAGCAUAGGAGCAUUGCUAUUUGCCCUGUGGUGGAUAGACAGCCUUACAGGGGCUGUCAACUCAGGACAAAAUCCCCUGGCUUAUUCUUUUCAGAUGAAACCCCCUCACCCAAAUAUUACCAUAUUGUAGGAAAUGGCAGAGGCUCUGGGCACAUAUGGAUUUAGGGACUUCUCCAUAGAGUUUUGGGAUCUCCAAAGUUUUCUGUAAAUUACAAGACUUCAUUGGGGAAAAAAACAACUCAUUAUUUAUAUUAGGGUAGUGCCUAUGGGUCCCAGUUACAGACAAGGACUUCCUUGUGCUGGUCCUCUCAUUGUGAAGGAACUUUCCAAAUGUGAACUAUGUUCUUCAGGCAACCUGGAACAUCCCACUGUGCUGUUUCUUCUGACACCUACUGAUGCAAGCAUGCAUAGGAGACUUAGAUGAGCAAUGAGAUCCCCUUGAGGUGGAGAAUCUUCCAGUGGAAUAAAGUCAGCAGCCAGGGCUCUAUCUUGUCUCUCUUCGCAUAUUCUCAAUGUCAACAGCCCUUUACGUGUCUGGGAUCAGAGCCUUCUCAACUCUAUUCAACCCAGCCGUUGUGCAACUGACCCUACUUUUAGUGAAUGUGCUGCCCCAGCUUUCAGCGCAUAGGUCCACCGAAUGUGCCUGGCUUGCUGUGCUUUCCUCCAGCAAUACAGACAGAGCUCUGCAUGCUGCAAACCAAACUGUGGCAUUAAGCCCAACCGGCAAUUUGUAUUCACAGCAAAGGUGCUUCAAAUCCCAACCCAGAGUGCGGGGGAAAGAAGAGAUUCUUCCUGUGAAACCAAUAAAAGGAGGAACCAAAGGCAAGUAGAACUGAAUGACUCAGCAUGACAGGUGCUUCAAUGACUACCCACUGCCACUUACUGAAGAGAUGCAGGGGAGUGGAGAAAGAGAAUGGCUCUGGGACAGCGAUAUAUCCAACAGUGGCUGAAUGGGCUGCCUGCUUAUAGUAGGCACAACAGCCUUAGAUAACGUGUCCAUGCACUGGUUGCUGACAAGGGACAAAAAUUACUGAAAGGGGGUUGCCUGGAACCUUUUGUGGCAUUGAAAAAGUUCAAGAUGAUUAGAGAUGUAUCACGCUGCAAGAGUUCAAACCGGAUCCUGGGGCUUGGUCCUGCAAUGAUCUCUGCAUGGGCAGGCCCUGGUGCACGCUCAAAACCACAGUGAAAUUGUCUGACUUAAAAUCUAUUUUAUGCCAUGGCUUCCGUGGCACCGACUUCAGUGGGGCUCUGUGCAUAGGCAGGAGGCUGCCCAGGUGGGGUUCAUUGGAGGGUCAAGGCUUUAAACUGUACAGAUUUGGGGCAAGGACUCUGUCUUCAUCCUCAUUUGAAAAGCAUCUAGUGCACCAUGGGAGUUACCGCCAUAAGGAGUAGUCAGUAUUUUGCUGGGAAGGCGAAAACUUGUGUCUUGUUUGUAAAGUUGCUAGGGGAGCAGUUUGAAAGAGCUCCAGAGAAUAACCAGCAGCAGGAUACAAACAUCAUUUUUAUUUGCAUUGGAUCAAAUUAUAAAACAAAGACCAUUUGAUUUCCAAAGCUGCUUUCAUGGGCUUAUGCUUUGUCUCUACAAGAAAACACUAGUCUCACAAAACCACAAAUUGAAUCUAUUUCCCCAUGUUAAGUAUCCUCACACCUUAUUGUCAACUGUCUGAAAUGGGCCAUC